GCCUCUAUAGCUCAGUCGGCAGAGCAUUUGCUUUGUAAGCAAAAGGCCACCGGUUCAAACCCGGUUGGGGGCU